rnacentral:rRNA from 1 species
CCUACGGGAGGCAGCAGUGAGGAAUAUUGGUCAAUGGACGAGAGUCUGAACCAGCCAAGUAGCGUGAAGGAUGACUGCCCUAUGGGUUGUAAACUUCUUUUAUAUGGGAAUAAAAUGUUCCACGUGUGGGAUUUUGUAUGUACCAUAUGAAUAAGGAUCGGCUAACUCCGUGCCAGCAGCCGCGUUAAUACGGAGGAUCCGAGCGUUAUCCGGAUUUGUUGGGUUGAAAGGGAGCGUAGGUGGAUUGUUAAGUCAGUUGUGAAAGUUUGCGGCUCAACCGUAAAAUUGCAGUUCAAGCUGGCAGUCGUGAGUACAGUAGAGGUGGGCGGAAGUCGCGGUGUAGGGGUGAAAU